UAUCUUGACAGUUACAAAUAUUUGUUCUCUCAAGACACUCUUCGAGAAGAAGAAGAUGUAGGAGGAUCUUGAUCUCUACACUAGAGAUUAUGAGAAGAACCCUUUCUUCUCUUUUCUUCCUAAAAUCCAUGCAUCAAAUCUCUACAAUAGAGAUGUAGAAAUUUUAUCUAACUUUUGGACAAAGAGAAGAGGAGACAUCCAUGUCUAAACGUG
rnacentral:lncRNA from 1 species